AUUGAACGCUGGCGGCAUGCUUUACACAUGCAAGUCGAACGGCAGCGCGGGCUUCGGCCUGGCGGCGAGUGGCGAACGGGUGAGUAAUGCAUCGGAACGUGCCCAGUCGUGGGGGAUAACACAUCGAAAGAUGUGCUAAUACCGCAUACGUCCUGAGGGAGAAAGCGGGGGAAUCUUCGGAUCCUCGCGCGAUUGGAGCGGCCGAUGUCAGAUUAGCUAGUAGGUGAGGUAAAGGCUCACCUAGGCGACGAUCUGUAGCGGGUCUGAGAGGAUGAUCCGCCACACUGGGACUGAGACACGGCCCAGACUCCUACGGGAGGCAGCAGUGGGGAAUUUUGGACAAUGGGGGCAACCCUGAUCCAGCCAUGCCGCGUGAGUGAAGAAGGCCUUCGGGUUGUAAAGCUCUUUCGGCCGGGAAGAAAUCGCAUUCUCUAACAUAGGGUGUGGAUGACGGUACCGGACUAAGAAGCACCGGCUAACUACGUG
rnacentral:rRNA from 1 species